rnacentral:rRNA from 1 species
CCUACGGGCGGCUGCAGUGGGGAAUAUUGCACAGUGGGCGCAAGCCUGAUGCAGCCAUGCCGCGUGUGUGAAGAAGGCCUUCGGGUUGUAAAGCACUUUCAGCGGGGAGGAAGGCGUUAAGGUUAAUAACCUUGUCGAUUGACGUUACCCGCAGAAGAAGCACCGGCUAACUCCGUGCCAGCAGCCGCGGUAAUACGGAGGGUGCAAGCGUUAAUCGGAAUUACUGGGCGUAAAGCGCACGCAGGCGGUCUGUCAAGUCGGAUGUGAAAUCCCCGGGCUCAACCUGGGAACUGCAUUCGAAACUGGCAGGCUAGAGUCUUGUAGAGGGGGGUAGAAUUCCAGGUGUAGCGGUGAAAUGCGUAGAGAUCUGGAGGAAUACCGGUGGCGAAGGCGGCCCCCUGGACAAAGACUGACGCUCAGGUGCGAAAGCGUGGGGAGCAAACAGGAUUAGAUACCCGAGUAGUC